GACGAGGUGGCCGAGUGGUUAAGGCGAUGGACUGCUAAUCCAUUGUGCUCUGGGUUUGAAUCCCAUCCUCGUCG